rnacentral:rRNA from 1 species
GACGAACGCUGGCGGCGUGCUUAACACAUGCAAGUCGAACGAAGAGCGAUGGAAGCUUGCUUCUAUCAAUCUUAGUGGCGAACGGGUGAGUAACGCGUAAUCAACCUGCCCUUCAGAGGGGGACAACAGUUGGAAACGACUGCUAAUACCGCAUACGAUCUAAUCUCGGCAUCGAGGAUAGAUGAAAGAUGGCCUCUACAUGUAAGCUAUCACUGAAGGAGGGGAUUGCGUCUGAUUAGCUAGUUGGAGGGGUAACGGCCCACCAAGGCGAUGAUCAGUAGCCGGUCUGAGAGGAUGAACGGCCACAUUGGGACUGAGACACGGCCCAGACUCCUACGGGAGGCAGCAGUGGGGAAUCUUCCGCAAUGGACGAAAGUCUGACGGAGCAACGCCGCGUGAGUGAUGACGGCCUUCGGGUUGUAAAGCUCUGUUAAUCGGGACGAAAGGCCUUCUUGCGAAUAGUGAGAAGGAUUGACGGUACCGGAAUAGAAAGCCACGGCUAACUACGUG